rnacentral:rRNA from 1 species
UACGUAGGGGGCAAGCGUUGUCCGGAUUUAUUGGGUUUAAAGGGUGCGUAGGCGGAUUAGUAAGUCAGUGGUGAAAGCCCAUCGCUUAACGGUGGAAUUGCCAUUGAUACUGCUAGUCUUGAGUAUGGUUGAGGUGGGCGGAAUGUGUCAUGUAGCGGUGAAAUGCUUAGAUAUGACCCAGAACACCAAUUGCGAAGGCAGCUCGCUAAACCAUAACUGACGCUGAUGCACGAAAGCGUGGGGAGCAAACAGG